AUUGAACGCUGGCGGCAGGCCUACCACAUGCAAGUCGAACGAGUGGCGGACGGGUGAGUAAUGUCGGGGAAACUGCCUGAUGGAGGGGGAUAACUACUGGAAAUGGUAGCUAAUACCGCAUACCUUCGGAUGUUCCCAGACGGGAUUAGCUAGUAGGUGGUGUAAAGGUUCACCUAGGCGACGAUCCCUAGCUGGUCUGAGAGGAUGACCAGCCCCACUGGAACUGAGCCACGGUCCAGACGCCUACGUGAGGCAGCAGUGGGGAAUAUUGCACAAUGGGCGCAAGCCUGAUGCAGCCAUGCCGCGUGUAUGAAGAAGGCCUUCGGGUUGUAAAGUACUUUCAGCGGGGAGGCGUUACCCGCAGAAGAAGCACCGGCUAACUCCGUGCCAGCAGCCGCGGUAAUAC
rnacentral:rRNA from 1 species